GGCGGGGCGGGACGGGCCCCGGUGGGAGGGCCGAGCGGCGCCGAGUCCGCCGCCGGGGCUGGGGGUUAGAGCGGGAAGCGCUGCCGUCCCGGUGGUAUCCCGUGGGUAACGAGAAGCGCAAAACAAAGGGUUUCGGCCGAAGGUUCGCGCCACGCUGGAAGCACAGAACGACCCAACGACUCUCCUCGACCGCGUGCUUCUCACGCCCGCUUUGUUCUGAGCGCGGCUGCGCGCUGGGCGGAGCUGCUCCGAGCGCGGCCGCACCUGUGCGGGUGGAGGCGCGGGGCUGCCGCUCGGCUCUGCUCGCGGGUGGAGGCCGGUGUGCCGGCAGAGCUGCAGAGGGAGACAGCUUUCCCGCUAUCGUUUGGACUGUGUUUGCUGAGAGUGCUAUGCCACUCCACUGGUGGUUUGAGUGUAUUUUAUUCGUGAGCAAUACAGAAAUAACGGGAGGAAUCCUCUGUUCAGAACUGGAUCAGUUACAGGACUUUGUGUCAUUUCUGCAGAAACACUGAUGCUUAACUGAGAAUAACAAGGAUGGGAAGUCAACUCUUGACAGUGACUACCGAUGCCCAGUUAGUUCCAGUUUUUGAUCUCAUCUUGUUCUGCAGUGCACUUCCCACAAUUCUGGCCCCUGCUCCACGUUAUCACAGUUACAGCUGACCUCUGUUUGCAUGAAGCAAGAAGUGUGAUAGCCAUAGUGCUGGCCAGCUCUUCUGCCACCAGAGCUGAAACAGAGCAUCAACAGAGCUCCAGACACUAUGAAGAAAAUCAACUCUGACCCCAACCAAAUCCAGUAUAAAUGUCUUCAG